rnacentral:rRNA from 1 species
GUGUAAGUAAAAAUCGUAACAAGGUUUCCGUAGGUGAACCUGCGGAAGGAUCAUUACACAUUCGGGGCGCUCCGGCGCUCCUUAUACACCCACCCUCUGCCUACGUGUACCUCUAUAGCUUCCUCGGCGGGCUCGCCCGCCGCCAGGAACCCACGAAACCCCUUGCAUUAUACGCGAAAACUUCUGAUAACAAACCUAAAUUAUCACAACUUUCAACAAUGGAUCUCUUGGUUCUGGCAUCGAUGAAGAACGCAGCGAAAUGCGAUAAGUAGUGUGAAUUGCAGAAUUCAGUGAAUCAUCGAAUCUUUGAACGCACAUUGCGGCCAUAGGUAUUCCUUUGGCCAUGCCUGUUCGAGCGUCAUUUACACCCUCAAGCCUAGCUUGGUGUUGGGCGUCUGUCCCGCCGUUCUCGCGCGCGGACUCGCCUCAAAGUCAUUGGCGGCGGUCGUGCCGGCCCCCUCGCGCAGCACAUUUGCGCUUCUCGGAGGCCCGGCGGAUCCGCGCUCCAGCAAGACCUUUCACGACUUGACCUCGGAUCAGGUGGAACA